GAGUUUGAUCUUGGCUCAGAUUGAACGCUGGCGGCAUGCCUUACACAUGCAAGUCGAACGGCAGCACGGGAGCUUGCUCCUGGUGGCGAGUGGCGAACGGGUGAGUAAUGCAUCGGAACGUAUCCUGGAGUGGGGGAUAACGUAGCGAAAGUUACGCUAAUACCGCAUAUUCUGUGAGCAGGAAAGCGGGGGACCUUCGGGCCUCGCGCUCUUGGAGCGGCCGAUGUCGGAUUAGCUAGUUGGUGAGGUAGAGGCUCACCAAGGCGACGAUCCGUAGCAGGUCUGAGAGGAUGAUCUGCCACACUGGAACUGAGACACGGUCCAGACUCCUACGGGAGGCAGCAGUGGGGAAUUUUGGACAAUGGGGGCAACCCUGAUCCAGCCAUGCCGCGUGAGUG
rnacentral:rRNA from 1 species